rnacentral:lncRNA from 1 species
CAUUGCCUCACACACCGAGCUUCGAGCAGCGAGCACCGAGCACUGCCAUCUACUCCACACACCCACGUUAUUGUGGCUGUAACAUAUUUACUUACUGUACGGUUCCCUGUUGCUCACGUGUUGCUAAUCGGAGGGGCGUUACAUGGCUGGGCUCUCGGAAUUUCCACGAGCAUAAACUACAGAGACAUUUGCAGUGUGACGAAAGGUUUGCUUUUCAUACAAACAGAAACGAAACAGCAUAACAAAAGGCAAACACUUGUAGAUUGCCUUCAUGUUUGCCUCUCUUCGAGGCACAGCGAGAAGGAAAACCCAUCGGAUUAGUGUGGUUACCUAACCCCCAACUUGGUUGCUGGUUAAAGUUUAAUCACCAUUUGGAAUGGGUAACAAUACGAUUUUUACCCGGAAGAUGCACAGUGUUGCGAGAGUGCAAGAGAAAUAUCCCAAGCCAAAUGUUUACCCAAAUGCCAAAGCUUCUGCUACGGUGGCUGGGGCCACGCAUCAAACGCUUAUGAUAACCACAAAUAAUCGUGAGGCAAAUUUCAUGCCUUUUGUGUGCCUUCACACACAGGUGCAAUUCACACCUGUAAUUAGGACGGACAUUGACGAAAUCACCAGACCAUGGAAGGGCCACAGCCAGUAAAUUGGUGCAGCAAGUGGGGGCUCUAAUCGUGUUAUAUCUUAAUUGGAAGCUUUCAAGUGGGGCUGCAAAACAUUCUGGGGACUUAUCGCCACAUCAGAAUCAACAAUAAACAACAUGAGAUCGCGUGAAAUGACAGAAAAUAAUUCUUAUCAUCUGGCGAAAUUUUAAUUUCAAAGUCGAGGUGAAAUCCAAAAGAAAAUAAAAUAAAAAUCGCUGAUAAGAACACUACAACAAAAAACAUAAUAAAAAGUAGAAAUAAAAGCACACAGAAAUAUUCAAGUGGAACGGGU